UCCGGUUUGACACCGGCAGUCUCUCAUGAGUCCCCGACAUUACUCGCUGUAAACGAUGGGCACUAGGUGUCGGCGGUAUACAUCCCGUCGGUGCCGGCGCUAACGCAGUAAGUGCCCCGCCUGGGGAGUACGGUCGCAAGGCUGAAACUCAAACGAAUUGACGGGGGCCCGCACAAGCGGUGGAGCAUGUGGUUUAAUUCGACGCAACGCGAAGAACCUUACCUGGGUUUGACAUGCACUGGACCGGCAGUGAAAACUGUCUUCCCUUCGGGGCUGGUGCACAGGUGCUGCAUGGCUGUCGUCAGCUCGUGUCGUGAGAUGUUGGGUUAAGUCCCGCAACGAGCGCAACCCUUGCCCUCUGUUGCUACCGGGUCAUGCCGGGCACUCUGAGGGGACUGCC
rnacentral:misc_RNA from 1 species